rnacentral:rRNA from 1 species
UACAGAGGUCUCAAGCGUUGUUCGGAUUCAUUGGGCGUAAAGAGCUCGUAGGCGGUCUGUCACGUCGGCUGUGAAAUCCCGAGGCUCAACCUCGGGUCUGCAGUCGAUACGGGCAAACUAGAGUAUUGCAGGGGAGACUGGAAUUCCUGGUGUAGCGGUGAAAUGCGCAGAUAUCAGGAGGAACACCGGUGGCGAAGGCGGGUCUCUGGGCAAUAACUGACGCUGAGGAGCGAAAGCGUGGGGAGCGAACAGG